GGGGCUGUGGCUCAGUGGUAGAGAAUCUGCUUGGCGUGCAGAAGGUCCCAGGUUUAACCCCUGGCAUUUCCA
rnacentral:tRNA from 1 species